GACGAACCGUGCGAACGUUGUUCGGAUUCACUGGGCUUAAAGGGCGCGUAGGCGGAUGGUCAAGUCGGGGGUGAAAUCUUUCAGCUUAACUGGAAAAGUGCCUCCGAUACUGAUCGCCUCGAGGGAGGUAGGGGCAUGUGGAACUUCCGGUGGAGCGGUGAAAUGCGUAGAUAUCGGAAGGAACGCCGGUGGCGAAAGCGACGUGCUGGACCUCUUCUGACGCUGAGGCGCGAAAGCUAGGGGAGCAAACGGG
rnacentral:rRNA from 1 species